rnacentral:tRNA from 1 species
GAGGGUAUAGCUCAAUGGUAGAUUAUGUGCUUAGUAUGCACUAGGUCCUGGGUUUAAUCCCCGUUACCUCU